rnacentral:rRNA from 1 species
AUGAACGCUGGCGGCGUGCCUAAUACAUGCAAGUCGAGCGAACGGACGAGGAGCUUGCUUUUCUGAUGUUAGCGGCGGACGGGUGAGUAACACGUGGAUAACCUACCUAUAAGACUGGGAUAACUUCGGGAAACCGGAGCUAAUACCGGAUAAUAUUUUGAACCGCAUGGUUCAAAAGUGAAAGACGGUCUUGCUGUCACUUAUAGAUGGAUCCGCGCUGCAUUAGCUAGUUGGUAAGGUAACGGCUUACCAAGGCAACGAUGCAUAGCCGACCUGAGAGGGUGAUCGGCCACACUGGAACUGAGACACGGUCCAGACUCCUACGGGAGGCAGCAGUAGGGAAUCUUCCGCAAUGGGCGAAAGCCUGACGGAGCAACGCCGCGUGAGUGAUGAAGGUCUUCGGAUCGUAAAACUCUGUUAUUAGGGAAGAACACAUGUGUAAGUAACUGUGCACAUCUUGACGGUACCUAAUCAGAAAGCCACGGCUAACUACGUG